rnacentral:lncRNA from 1 species
AGCAGGCCGAGCUAGAAAAGCAAAAAAGAUGGCUUUGCUUGCGUUUGUUUGUAGGUGGCGGGGAGGAUGACACAGUUUAUCCAUCCCAAGCUUUUGAGGAGAGCCGAGGAGGUGCUGGGCAUGCUCUCCACGCCCAAGUCCACUCCGCAGUACCCCUACGACAAGAAGUUCAGUGAGGUGCCGCUCGAGGAGCGAGAGAAACUUAUGUACCAGUGGGCCAACAGCGACGACGACGAUUCCCGUCUCAACUUCAAGAUCUUCAAGACGUUCAUCCUCAACACUGUCUAUAGCAAGGUGCCAUGGUUUAAAAAGACGCUCUCUAUAUCAAGACAUUGUACCUCUUGGCUUGCAGGUGGAUGCUAAGGGCUACAACCCGACCUGGGAAGCCAUCGGCUAUGCGGGACCGGAUCCAAACUCCAUGAAAGCAACGUUGCCUCCAAAGCCGUCAGCUCUCAAGUCCGCCGUCUUCGACGUCAGAGAGCACCCCGACCUGCGAGGAGUCCUCAAGCACACGGGUUACACUCUACUGGAUGACAUAUCUCACCUCAAGCCGGCGCUCCUGCCUUCCAACAAGCUCGAGGACGGAGAGGACGUGAUUGGCAUCAAAUGCGACGUGAUCAUUGUUGGAGCUGGCAGCGGAGGAAGCGUUCCAGCU